rnacentral:tRNA from 1 species
GCGGGUGUAGCUCAGCGGUAGAGCGUCAGCUUCCCAAGCUGAGGGUCACGGGUUCAAUUCCCGUCACCCGCU